rnacentral:rRNA from 1 species
UACGGGGGGAGCAAGCGUUGUUCGGAUUUACUGGGCGUAAAGGGCGCGUAGGCGGCCAGCACAAGUCAGGUGUGAAAUCCCCGGGCUUAACCUGGGAACUGCAUUUGUGACUGCACAGCUGGAGUGCGGCAGAGGGGGAUGGAAUUCCGCGUGUAGCAGUGAAAUGCGUAGAUAUGCGGAGGAACACCGAUGGCGAAGGCAAUCCCCUGGGCCUGCACUGACGCUCAUGCACGAAAGCGUGGGGAGCAAACAGG